rnacentral:rRNA from 1 species
UACGGGGGGGGGCAAGCGUUGUUCGGAAUUACUGGGCGUAAAGGGCUCGUAGGCGGCCAACUAAGUCAGACGUGAAAUCCCUCGGCUUAACCGGGGAACUGCGUCUGAUACUGGAUGGCUUGAGAUUGGGAGAGGGAUGCGGAAUUCCAGGUGUAGCGGUGAAAUGCGUAGAUAUCUGGAAGAACACCAAAGGCGAAGGCAGCAUCCUGGGAAGUUCCUGACGCUCGGGUGCGAAAGCCAGGGGAGCGAACGGG